rnacentral:rRNA from 1 species
GAUGAACGCUGGCGGCGUGCUUAACACAUGCAAGUCGAACGAAGCACUUUAUUUGAUUUCCUUCGGGACUGAUUAUUUUGUGACUGAGUGGCGGACGGGUGAGUAACGCGUGGGUAACCUGCCUUGUACAGGGGGAUAACAGUUGGAAACGGCUGCUAAUACCGCAUAAGCGCACAGCAUCGCAUGAUGCAGUGUGAAAAACUCCGGUGGUAUAAGAUGGACCCGCGUUGGAUUAGCUAGUUGGUGAGGUAACGGCCCACCAAGGCGACGAUCCAUAGCCGACCUGAUAGGGUGACCGGCCACAUUGGGACUGAGACACGGCCCAAACUCCUACGGGAGGCAGCAGUGGGGAAUAUUGCACAAUGGGCGAAAGCCUGAUGCAGCGACGCCGCGUGAGCGAAGAAGUAUUUCGGUAUGUAAAGCUCUAUCAGCAGGGAAGAUAAUGACGUUACCUGACUAAGAAGCACCGGCUAAACACGUG